rnacentral:rRNA from 1 species
GGCUUAACACAUGCAAGUCGAACGGGCGUAGCAAUACGUCAGUGGCAGACGGGUGAGUAACGCGUGGGAACGUACCUUUUGGUUCGGAACAACUGAGGGAAACUUCAGCUAAUACCGAAUAAGCCCUUACGGGGAAAGAUUUAUCGCCGAAAGAUCGGCCCGCGUCUGAUUAGCUUGUUGGUGAGGUAACGGCUCACCAAGGCGACGAUCAGUAGCUGGUCUGAGAGGAUGAUCAGCCACAUUGGGACUGAGACACGGCCCAAACUCCUACGGGAGGCAGCAGUGGGGAAUAUUGAACAAUGGGCGAAAGCCUGAUCCAGCCAUGCCGCGUGAGUGAUAAGGCCCUAGGGUUGUAAAGCUC